rfam:Pteropus alecto contig110724, whole genome shotgun sequence.
UUGCUCAUGGAAAACAUAGUCAAGAAAAUGACGGCGUGCAAUGGCUGCAAACAGCAGCCUCCUCGGUAGUAUAUGCAGCCUGUUUCUUGUAUGGGUUACCUUAAGAAACCUUGGGGACCACC